CCUACGGGGGGCUGCAGUGGGGAAUAUUGGACAAUGGGCGAAAGCCUGAUCCAGCCAUGCCGCGUGUGUGAAGAAGGCCUUCGGGUUGUAAAGCACUUUCAGUGGGGAAGAAAGCCUUGGGGCUAAUACCCUCGAGGAAGGACAUCACCCACAGAAGAAGCACCGGCUAACUCCGUGCCAGCAGCCGCGGUAAUACGGAGGGUGCGAGCGUUAAUCGGAAUUACUGGGCGUAAAGCGCGCGUAGGCGGUCUGAUAAGCCGGUUGUGAAAGCCCCGGGCUCAACCUGGGAACGGCAUCCGGAACUGUCAGGCUAGAGUGCAGGAGAGGAAGGUAGAAUUCCCGGUGGAGCGGUGAAAUGCGUAGAGAUCGGGAGGAAUACCAGUGGCGAAGGCGGCCUUCUGGACUGACACUGACGCUGAGGUGCGAAAGCGUGGGUAGCAAACAGGAUUAGAUACCCCUGUAGUC
rnacentral:rRNA from 1 species